rnacentral:rRNA from 1 species
AUGAACGCUGGCGGCGUGCCUAAUACAUGCAAGUCGAGCGAACGGACGAGAAGCUUGCUUCUCUGAUGUUAGCGGCGGACGGGUGAGUAACACGUGGAUAACCUACCUAUAAGAUUGGGAUAAUUUCGGGAAACCGGAGCUAAUACCGGAUAAUAUUUUGAACCGCAUGGUUCAAAAGUGAAAGACGGUCUUGCUGUCACUUAUAGAUGGAUCCGCGCUGCAUUAGCUAGUUGGUAAGGUAACGGCUUACCAAGGCAACGAUGCAUAGCCGACCUGAGAGGGUGAUCGGCCACACUGGAACUGAGACACGGUCCAGACUCCUACGGGAGGCAGCAGUAGGGAAUCUUCCGCAAUGGGCGAAAGCCUGACGGAGCAGCGCCGCGUGAGUGAUGAAGGUCUUCGGAUCGUAAAACUCUGUUAUUAGGGAAGAACAUAUGUGUAAGUAACUGUGCACAUCUUGACGGUACCUAAUCAGAAAGCCACGGCUAACUACGUG